CCUACGGGCGGCAGCAGUGAGGAAUAUUGGUCAAUGGGCGCUAGCCUGAACCAGCCAAGUAGCGUGAAGGAUGACUGCCCUAUGGGUUGUAAACUUCUUUUAUAUAGGAAUAAAGUGCAGUAUGUAUACUGCUUUGCAUGUACUUUAUGAAUAAGGAUCGGCUAACUCCGUGCCAGCAGCCGCGGUAAUACGGAGGAUCCGAGCGUUAUCCGGAUUUAUUGGGUUUAAAGGGAGCGUAGGCGGGUUGUUAAGUCAGUUGUGAAAGUUUGCGGCUCAACCGUAAAAUUGCAGUUGAUACUGGCAGCCUUGAGUACAGUAGAGGUAGGCGGAAUUCGUGGUGUAGCGGUGAAAUGCUUAGAUAUCACGAAGAACUCCGAUUGCGAAGGCAGCCUGCUGGACUGUAACUGACAUUGAUGCUCGAAAGUGUGGGUAUCAAACAGGAUUAGAUACCCUUGUAGUC
rnacentral:rRNA from 1 species